GCAGUCGAGCGGACCGACGGGAGCUUGCUCCCUUAGGUCAGCGGCGGACGGGUGAGUAACACGUGGGUAACCUGCCUGUAAGACUGGGAUAACUCCGGGAAACCGGGGCUAAUACCGGAUGCUUGAUUGAACCGCAUGGUUCAAUCAUAAAAGGCGGCUUCGGCUGCCGUUUACAGAUGGACCCGCGGCGCAUUAGCUAGUUGGUGAGGUAACGGCUCACCAAGGCGACGAUGCGUAGCCGACCUGAGAGGGUGAUCGGCCACACUGGGACUGAGACACGGCCCAGACUCCUACGGGAGGCAGCAGUAGGGAAUCUUCCGCAAUGGACGAAAGUCUGACGGAGCAACGCCGCGUGAGUGAUGAAGGUUUUCGGAUCGUAAAGCUCUGUUGUUAGGGAAGAACAAGUACCGUUCGAAUAGGGCGGUACCUUGACGGUACCUAACCAGAAAGCCACGGCUAACUACGUGCCAGCAGCCGCGGUAAUACGUAGGUGGCAAGCGUUGUCCGGAAUUAUUGGGCGUAAAGCGCGCGCAGGCGGUUUCUUAAGUCUGAUGUGAAAGCCCCCGGCUCAACCGGGGAGGGUCAUUGGAAACUGGGGAACUUGAGUGCAGAAGAGGAGAGUGGAAUUCCACGUGUAGCGGUGAAAUGCGUAGAGAUGUGGAGGAACACCAGUGGCGAAGGCGACUCUCUGGUCUGUAACUGA
rnacentral:rRNA from 1 species